rnacentral:rRNA from 1 species
GUGGAUUAGAUACCCUGGUAGUCCACGCUGUAAACGAUGUCGACUUGGAGGUUGUUCCCUUGAGGAGUGGCUUCCGGAGCUAACGCGUUAAGUCGACCGCCUGGGGAGUACGGCCGCAAGGUUAAAACUCAAAUGAAUUGACGGGGGCCCGCACAAGCGGUGGAGCAUGUGGUUUAAUUCGAUGCAACGCGAAGAACCUUACCUACUCUUGACAUCCAGAGAACUUAGCAGAGAUGCUUUGGUGCCUUCGGGAACUCUGAGACAGGUGCUGCACGGUCGUCGACAACU